CUCUGACUUACACAGCCUCACCCCUCUCACAUCCCCAUUUCUCCAUUUCGCACAUUUGAGAUCCGACCCUCACCAUGGCCUCAGUUUCUGCGACUGUGACGGCCCUCAUCAUCCCUCCUUCGCGACAACUCACGACUAUUCGUCCUCCGUCCUCUCUCCUUGGUAUUUUCUCUAUCUUAUCUCAUAUAACUUGAAAUGUGGGUCGUCUUGUUAUUAAUGUGGGUUUCUAAAUUUGAUAUCUUUAAUCUUGUUUCUGGGUUUUGAUUUGAGCUUAUGACAGUUUUCGAUUUCUGGGCUUUUUUGUUUUUGUGAAUUUCUGUGGGUUUUGGCAAUUCCCGAGUUCCGAGUUCUCGUAUUGGAUGGAUGUUUACAUUCUUAUUCAUGUUCAUGUUUACAACCUUCUAUUUCUUUUUCUUAGUCUACAUUUUCUCAGCAACCAAACAUAUCCUAACCAACUCUGAAGGUGCAUUUUGUUCUUGUGAAUCGAUUGCGUUCGGUUCUGUCUUUACACAAUGUGGAAUAGAAAAAGGAUUUGGAGUUUUAAACAUUUACAGAACCCCAUUAUUACAUUAGGAUUAGUUGUACUGAAAUUAAGUGUUUAACUGUGCUGAAAUUAAAGUGGUUUAACUUUAAUUGACAACAUUAUUGCCCAGGGAAAAAUAAAGUGUUUAAUUGUGCUCUACAGUGGCACGAUUUGAAGGUUAAUUAACAAUUUGUUUUUUUGGUUGCUCUGCAGUGGCACAACUGACGACCAAAAUCAAGAAUCUAUUUUCAUUGUGAGGAGAAAAGAAGAUCUCAUUAGUGUAAAAGCAUUGGAAGACUGUCUUCAUCGGAUUCCUCCUAAUAGUUUCUCUAAGGUAUAAAAUGGUUUAAUUGUAGAUCUUCUGGAGUUUCAUUUUAGAUAUAUUUGUUACAAAUGUUCAUUUAUAUUAUUUUUCACUACAAAUAUUGCUCCAUGUUUUCUGCUACUAUCAUCAAUAACCACGAGAAAGUAGAAUGUAGCUUGUCCUUUAGGUCGUACAACAUUUGGCUUGACUGCCUUUAAGUGAUUGAGAUCCAUGUUAAUUCAAGUCUUUCAUGCUUCUGUUUGGUUGGAAUUUUAACCUGUGUUGAAUUUGGGGCAUCCAACUCGUAGCUUUGGAGAACAGGUUUAGCAUUGGAGCUCAUUGUUCAGCUGGGCUUUCUCCUUAAUCUUUCACUUUUACAUGAUAUGAUUAUACAUAAAGAGUGGGUAUAUUUGUCAGCAAAUUCUGUUUAAUUGUUGUGUAAUUAAAUUUAAACCUACAGUUUGAUUCUUCAAACUUUUAAAACUGGGGAAGCCCAUGUUUCCUCUAUGAAAUAAGUUGUUUGAUUCUGCUUACUCUCUGAAAUAAGUUGUUUGAUUUGAUUAUAUGUUGUUUGAUUGUGUACAGGAGCUGCUGCAGUGCUGCUUGCUCUCUGAGAUUUGUGGCUGACCUUCUUGCUUGCUGGAAUGGCAAUUUUGGAGGUCAUCUAGUCUCACAGAGGAUUUGUUUGAAGAGCACUUUGUGCAUUAUACGGUGCAUUUUGUGGGAAUUGAAGGACAUACCUCUUGUGUAUACUUAUCAUGCACUUGGAAAUGAACAAUAAUCUAUAUGAGGAGAUAAACCUACAGUUUGCUUCUUUAUUUUUUUGUUUGUUGACUGACUGAUCAAUGCAUGUCUUGUAGUUCCCUUUUUGUUGACUUGGUGCCACUACCAAAGACAUUGCAUUAAAAAAGAUGUGUUGUAUGCAACUUUAUAAAAUCAGUUUUAGAAGAUGUAUUUGAAUGUAUGAUGAUUUGGUGUUCAAAUAAUUUAGCAUUCGGAACCGUAAAUCGGCAAG
rnacentral:lncRNA from 1 species